AUUGCCGCCGGACGGGAGCGGUCCUGAGGGUUGGGGAGCCCGAUGACGGAUCGUGACUGAGAGCCGGUUCGGGUUCACGGGAGCCCGGGCCCUCGCUCCGGUGAAGAAG
rfam:Actinomyces massiliensis F0489 contig00050, whole genome shotgun sequence.